CGAACGCUGGCGGCGUGCCUAAUACAUGCAAGUCCAGCGAGUCUGCCUUGAAGAUCGGAGUGCUUGCACUCUGUGAAACAAGAUACAGGCUAGCGGCGGACGGGUGAGUAACACGUGGGUAACCUGCCCAAGAGAUCGGGAUAACACCUGGAAACAGAUGCUAAUACCGGAUAACAACAGAUGAUGCCUAUCAACUGUUUAAAAGAUGGUUCUGCUAUCACUCUUGGAUGGACCUGCGGUGCAUUAGCUAGUUGGUAGGGUAACGGCCUACCAAGGCGAUGAUGCAUAGCCGAGUUGAGAGACUGAUCGGCCACAUUGGGACUGAGACACGGCCCAAACUCCUACGGGAGGCAGCAGUAGGGAAUCUUCCACAAUGGACGCAAGUCUGAUGGAGCAACGCCGCGUGAGUAAAGAAGGGUUUCGGCUCGUAAAGCUCUGUUGUUGGUGAAGAAGGACAGGGGUAGUAACUGACCUUUGUUUGACGGUAAUCAAUUAGAAAGUCACGGCUAACUACGUG
rnacentral:rRNA from 1 species